GAUGAACGCUGGCGGCGUGCUUAACACAUGCAAGUCGAACGGAAAGGCUCCUGCUUGCAGGGGUACUCGAGUGGCGAACGGGUGAGUGACACGUGGGUGAUCUGCCCUGCACUUCGGGAUAAGCCUGGGAAACUGGGUCUAAUACCGGAUAGGACGAUGGUUUGGAUGCCAUUGUGGAAAGUUUUUUCGGUGUGGGAUGAGCUCGCGGCCUAUCAGCUUGUUGGUGGGGUAAUGGCCUACCAAGGCGUCGACGGGUAGCCGGCCUGAGAGGGUGUACGGCCACAUUGGGACUGAGAUACGGCCCAGACUCCUACGGGAGGCAGCAGUGGGGAAUAUUGCACAAUGGGCGCAAGCCUGAUGCAGCGACGCCGCGUGGGGGAUGACGGCCUUCGGGUUGUAAACUCCUUUCGCUAGGGACGAAGCGCAAGUGACGGUACCUGGAGAAGAAGCACCGGCUAACUACGUG
rnacentral:rRNA from 1 species